GAUGAACGCUGGCGGCGUGCCUAAUACAUGCAAGUCGAGCGAACAGAUGAGGAGCUUGCUCCUCUGACGUUAGCGGCGGACGGGCGAGUAACACGUGGAUAACCUACCUAUAAGACUGGGAUAACUUCGGGAAACCGGAGCUAAUACCGGAUAAUAUAUUGAACCGCAUGGUUCAAUAGUGAAAGACGGUUUUGCUGUCACUUAUAGAUGGAUCCGCGCCGCAUUAGCUAGUUGGUAAGGUAACGGCUUACCAAGGCAACGAUGCGUAGCCGACCUGAGAGGGUGAGAGGACACAAGGAGACUGAACCAGGGUACAACCACCUGCGGGAGGAGCAAGUGGGGAAUUUUCGGAAAGGGGAGAAAGCCGGACGGAGCAACGCCGGGGGAGGAAUAAAGGUUUUCGGAUCGAAAAAUUUUUUUAUUGGGAAAAAACAAAUGUGAAAGUAACAAUGCACGUCUUGAGGUUACCUAAUAGGAAAGCCAGGGCUAACUACGUA
rnacentral:rRNA from 1 species